rnacentral:lncRNA from 1 species
GAAUAUGUAUUCAAACUUAAAAUUAAACUGGACGUGGCCAUCACACACUGGUAACCUCAAACUGUUUCUGAAUUUUCUCUUAAAAAAUAGUAAAUGCUAAACUACACAUGGGUUAACUACAUGAGAGUUAUUGCUAAACAGUCACUAUUUUAAACAGUCCAAAAAUCCAAUAGAGUACACAUGGAGGCCUACUACAAUCCUGCAUUAUACUAUAAUCACAAACUAAACCCAACUAAAUUGAUAAAUUCAUGAAAUACAUCUAAUUAAUCUAACAGAUCACUAUUUAACAGUCCAAGUUAGUUCAAGUACAUUUCCAAUUCCUACAAGGUGAGUACAAUUGAAAAGAGUCCAAACAAAUACAAAUUAUCUACUAACUAUACUGCCAAGUUUUAGACAAGAGGGGUUGCUCUGAUGGUAAGCAACCCCCACUUCCAACCGAGAGGUUGUNNNNNNNNNNNNNNNNNNNNNNNNNNNNNNNNNNNNNNNNNNNNNNNNNNNNNNNNNNNNNNNNNNNNNNNNNNNNNNNNNNNNNNNNNNNNNNNNNNNNNNNNNNNNNNNNNNNNNNNNNNNNNNNNNNNNNNNNNCCCAAGGGUAGGGGUAAGGUCUGCAUACACACUACCCUCCCCAGACCCCACUAAAUGGGAUUAUACUGGGUUGUUGUUGUUGUUGUUACACUGCCAAGUUUAUUUGAAUAUAUAAACUUCAAAAAGCAACAGGGUUACAGAUUUCAUUGCAUCAUUUCAAUAUCCAAGAUAUAGCAAUAUAAGAUUCAAAUGUAUACCUCGAUUAGUGGAAUAUAAGAAUAAUGAAAAAAGGUCAGCUACAGGCUGAAUAAGCAGCGAAACAGAUCACAGCAGCAGCAAGAAAACAGUAACACCAACAACAUAUUAUCAACAGCAAUGGAGUAGUUAAAUAAAAAGACCAACCAAGCACCAAUUCGGCCAAAAUAAAACCCAUAAACAAAGAAAAACCCAUAAACAAAGAGAAAUAGAGCUUGACCAAAACAAUACUACUAGUAACACAAACACCCCAAGACAGAACUAGUGGGCUUGAAUAACCUAAAAAAUAGAAUAAGCAGACUUCCAAAUAGAUUUAGCAAUCAGAAAAGGUAAGAAUCAGUGCCUAGAAUCCAACUUUCUGCAUAGAACUCAAUGGAACAACACCCUUUCUUUUAAAUACCGACAAUGACUUAAAGUCUGAAGAUGCUCUCUUAGACUGAUUAGAAAGAGAACCUAGGGAAAAAUUGACUGCCUCUUUCUGAAAUUCUUUGAAGUGUGACCUUUGAGAACUGAUUCCAAAAGCCCUCUUAACAAUACUCUCUCAGACUUUUAAAGACUGAUCCCUCUUCUCCCCAAAAUCCAUUCCCCUUUCAAACUCUCUUAACCCUUGUAUUUAUAUCAAAUAACAAACCCCCCUCCAGCUCUUAUGAGCACUUAGCUAAUUAGAAAACUCAUUGUCCCAUCAAAUUGCCCGAAGACCACUACUGCUUGUCCCUUUCUAUUAUUUUAAUUCAAAGGUGUUUGGGCAGCAUAAAUUUAAAAUUCAGACGUACCCGAUAGCCCAUGUUGCUUCCACUUUGUCAUAAUAAUUUUUUUAAUUCAGUACUUUACCUUAAUUUUAUCAAUCAACAAAUCCUAACUGACUAACAAACACGGUACAGAUUCAAAUAACAGCUAACAACAAAUAACAAUUACACAAAAUUCAAAUGACUAACCAAUUCAGUGUGAUUACUGACUGAGCAUUUCAAGUUAUUGCGAUGAACUAAUCUCUAAUUUUAAGCAAACGAAUAGACUUGGUUCAAUGUAUAAACAAAGAAAAAACGAAGCAAGAGGAUAAAAAGAAUGGUAAUUAACCAAAAACUAAAAGAUAACAUAAAAGAAAGGGAAUUGAAAAAUACUCGGAUAUAAGGCGAACCAAACACUGGAAUUACAGCUCGUCCUUUUGAUUUGGAUCAAAACGGACCUUAAUUGUGUGUUUACAAUAUGAAAACAUACGACAAAGGUCCAAUUUUGGUCCAAAGCUCCUCACCGUGCCCGUUGUCCUUUGAGUUAAAGUUAGGGCUCAAUUUCCGUGAUUUUAAACUUGACACUCUAAGCCCACAUUCGAGGGAAGCCAGGUGUGGCUUUGGGGUGAGGGAGUCAAAUAGGUCAUUGCGUGUUAGUUUAGGAAGGUUUGGAGGUCGUGAUAAAGGAUUUUAGGGUGGCGCUAGGGUUCCUCACUUUGAAGGGAUAUUCGAGGGUUUCGACUUGGAUUCGAGGAAAAGUGUUUGGAUAAUUGGAAUGGGGAGGUCAAGGAGGAGUUAUGGUGUAAAAUUUGGAGGGUUUGGGCCACCGAAAUCGCCGUGAGGUAAUUUUCGGUAGGCGGAGCAUGGUGGAGUUUAGGCGGAGAGUUUGUUUGGUCUCUGAGGUUAGAGACAAAGAGGGCAACGGUGGGGUUUUGCUUUGGGGGUGGGGGUGUAUCGUUUAAUCUUAUAUACUCAAUUAGGGAUUAAACACAUGUCGUUAGAUCAAUCAAGAUCAACUGCCAUGAUCAACAGACUAAACGAGACGACGUCGUUUGGAUAAAAGGGGGCGGAUUCAGGUUUGGGAACGGGUCAGGUGUGGGUUUGGACGGGUAAGGGGGUUUGGGACUGGGAUUUCCUAUAAGACUGGCCCAAUUCCAAUUUUUCAAUUUAUUUUUUCAUAUUUGUUUCCUUUUAUUUUCUUUCCUUUUUAUUUCCUAAUUUUAAAACAAAAAAUUCUAGAUUAAAUUAUAAAACCAAAAUUAUCUUAAAAAUAAAAAUUAACUCUUUAUAAUAAUUAGGACAUAUAAUUAAAAUAAAAAGAAACUCAUACAAUUUAACAUUACACACUAAAAUGCGAAGUACAUUUUUUUUUGAGUUUUUCGUUUUGUAAAACAAACUUAAUUACUCCUAAUUAUAGAAUUAAAUCCUAAAUGCAAAUGCAAACAUUUUUUUUGUAUUUUUAUUAAUUUUUAAAAAUAAACAUGCACGGACGAAUGCAAACAAUACACAAAAUUCACAACAAUUGCAAACAAACAAAAUUAUUUUAUUUUGAAAUUCUUUUUGGGAGCAAUUCUCAUAUAGGGCAAAAAUCACGUGGUCACAGCUGCCCCUCUUUGUCCGAAAACAUGAAGAGUUUUGGUGAAAAGAUAAAGUGAGCGGAUAAGAGCAAUUUUUUGCCCGUUUGAGUACUCCGUGUGAAGCAUUUUGAAAGAUUUGACUGAACCUCUGCUUCAAAGGUUUCCUACAUAUCCCUGACUAAAAAGAAAUCAGGUCAAUGUAGUUCGGGAAGUUUUGGUAGCUGGGACUACCAUGGAGCUGUGAUUUUGCUGUUACUGCUGCUGUUGCUACUACCGCUUACUGACCUCCUUAUUACACCAUGUUAAAAGAAAAAACAAGAAGCUAGACUAAACUAUUUACAAAAUCUUAUCUAGACCUUGAAGACUUGCUCUUAGAGUAUUCUCUUGAUUGCCGAACUCGAACUGCUUAUUUCCUUCUUGUGUGCUUCGAAUUAUUUUUCCUUCGAAGCUUGUACUGCUUUCUUCUGACUUCUGAACUUGAAUUUAGGGUGGUAUUUGUUGUUGUAACCCUCUCCUUUACUUACUUCAAACUUCAAUGUAUUCCUCUGUUAUACGGGCGGGCUCUCAACUUCAAAACUUGAAAUGUAAAGACUGAAAUGUAUUCCUCUGUUAUACGGGCGAGCUCUCGACUUCAAGACUUAAAUAAUAUAAAGAAUAAAUGUAUUCCUCUGUUAUAUGGGCGGGCUCCCAUCUUCAAAACUUGAAAUGUAUUCCUCUGUUAUAUGGGAGGGCUCCUAACUUCAAAUUUUGAUAUGUAAAGACUGAAAUGAUUACCAUUUUAGGUGAAAGAUUCACUAGACUAAGAUUUUUAUUUUUAUCUUAGGUGAAAGAUUCAUCUGACAAAGAUUUUUAUCUUAGGUGAAAGAUUCAACAGACUAAGAUUUUUAUCUUAGGUGAAAGAUUCAACAUACUAAGAUUUUCUUUAUCUUAGGUGAAAGAUUCAUCAGACUAAGAUAUUUUUUUAUUUUAGGUGAAAGAUUCAACAGACUAAGUUUUUUAUCUUUAUUUAGACUAAGAUUUUUAUCUUAUGUGAAAGAUUCAACAGACUAAGAUUUUUAUGUUUAUCUUAGGUGAAAUAUUCAUCAGACUAAGAUUUUUCUUUUUUUCCAAUUCAGACUUCCUUUUUUCUUUUCAAAUUCUGCCCUUCCUUUCUUCUUCCCUUUUUAAAAAAAAAUUAUGCCUUCCUUUCUUCUUAUUUUUUUAACAUUCUGACUUCCCUUCUUUUCAAAUUAUCCUAGGAGAAAACUAAUCAGAUUAAGAUUUUUAUCUUUAUCUUAGGUGAAAAAUUCAUCAGACUAAGAUUUUCAUCUUAGGUGAAAGAUUCAACACACAAUGAUUUUCAUCUUUAUCUUAGGUGAAAAAUCAUAAGACUAAGAUUUUUCUCUUAGGUCAAAGAUUCAACAGACUAAGAUUUUUAUCUUUAUCUUAGGUGAAAGAUUCAUCAGACUAAGAUUUUUAUCUUAGGUGAAAGAUUCAACAGACUAAAACUUUUAUCUUUUAUCUUAGGUGAAAAAUUCAUCAGACUAAGAUUUUUAUCUUAGGUGAAAGAUUCAAUAGACUAAGAUUUUUAUUUUUUAUCUUACGUGGAAAAUUCAUCUGACUAAGUUUUUUUAUCUUAGGUGAAAGAUAACAGACUAAGAUUUUUAUCUUUAUCUUAGGUGAAAGAUUCAUCAGACAAAGAUUUUUAUCUUUAUCUUAAGUGAAAAAUUCAUCAGAAUACUAUUUUUAUCGAUUAACCAUUUUCCUCCGGAACUUGUUUUAUCUACCUUCUAAUUUGAAUUAUCUUCCUUCAGGACUACUUCCCUAAAAACUGGUGUUGUCCUCCUUCAAAAACCACUUUCCUAAAAACUGGUGUUUCAUUCCUCCGAAAAUUACUUUCCUUAUAACUGAUGUUUCUUUCUUGAAAACAACUUCACUUUUUUUUAAAAAUAAAAAUAAAAAUUUCAAAAUGACAGAAAAUUUUCAAAUUUCUACCCCAGUUUGAUAAUCUUCCUUGUAGCACGUCUUUCUGCCAUCAAUAACUUUUUCUGCCCAUGUUUCGAAUCAGAGAAAAUUCUGCCAAUUUAAAGUGCGGUGGUUGGUUGUGGUACUCCUGCUGGGGAUGGAUUUCUUUUCCAUGCUCUCCGUUAUCCGACCAUCUUGAAAAUUAGCCGAUAACCCCCCCCCCCCCCCCNNNNNNNNNNNNNNNNNNNNNNNNNNNNNNNNNNNNNNNNNNNNNNNNNNNNNNNNNNNNNNNNNNNNNNNNNNNNNNNNNNNNNNNNNNNNCCACUCCCGACCUUCUUGACGAUUCUUUAUUCACAAACUUCUCAUCUGACCCCAUAUAUUUCCCAUGACAACAGAUUUCUGUUUGGAAUAUAUUUAUUGUCACUGGCCCACCCUUUUGUCAAUCUCAUAAUAGAAUAUACCUUUGAUUCAUUCUCCCUGGCCUUCCCUCUGCUGCAUUGUCCAUGAAUGGAUCGAUCUUGGAUAUUUGCAUGAAUCUCAAAGCAUGUUGACUAUUACCAUCUCAGUGCAUUUGUUCUUUCCUGGAAAAUUUUGAAGUCAUUUCUCACUUGUUCAGACCAAAGAGACUCAAGAAGAGGAAAUGACGAAGAUAUAAGGAGUGCUGUAAAAGACAAAAGAAAAAGAUGACUCCUAACAAGAAAAACAAUAAAGUAAAACUUAUCAGACGUGGAUGCCAACUCUAGUGGUCAUGACAUGCACACGUGGCCUAUCCUCUGUCGUUAAUUGUCUUUCACAAUCUCCAUCUGAUGAUUUCCCUCUCAAUCCUUAUUCGACUUGUAGUUCCCGAAGAAUUUCACUAUCACGACUCUCUCAUUUUGAUUUCUCUCAACUCCCGUCGCCUUAUGAUGCAUGCGAAGGUUUUCACCGGUAGGACUCUCUCAUUAUAUUACUUUUCAGCUGGGGUUGGGGUGUUAUAGAUAAGACUCUCUCAUUUUAUUUCUUUUCUGGGGAUCGAAGUGUUAUUCUCUACUUCUACUUGCCUGACUUUGCAUCCUUUGCAGACUGGUCAAAAGGUCUUUCUUUUGACCGUAAUGUAGGAUUUUGGAUAGGCUAGGAAUAAAGGGUAUUAAAGGCUCAAAGAAAUCAACUUGGGUUCAAAAUUACAACCUUCGGAACUAGAUUUCUUUACAACAAACACAACUUUUGCCCCAAUUUCUUGCUUGUGGAUUUUUUUAUUAUUUUUUGUUACACUAUGACCGAGCUGUUAAGCGCCUACGUAUCCUCUUUGAGGAAUCAGGUCAAACGUAGUUCACCAAAUUCCUACUUGUUCUAGUUUUCCUUUUCACGUAUUUAUUAUUUUCUUUUUCUUUUUCUUUCUCUUUUAUCUCUUUUUUUCUUUUUGUUGGUUUGUUGUCUUUGUGUUUUUUUUUCUUUUUCUUUCUCCUUUUCUUCUUCUUAUCUUUUUGUGUUUCUACUCUUUGCUACUAAUUCCGAAAUAGUGGUAUGAAAGAAAACAAAUAAGGCUCAAAGGGCUAACAAAAGUGUUUAGAUAGCAGAACAAAAUGCCUCUGUCAUUCCAAUAUUCAAAACAUGCCAAGCACAAACAACACGAUUAAACAAAGAUUUGUGACAUCUUUUGAUCUUACUAGUCUUGAUAACUAUAUCCACAUCUUUGCUUUCUUCAUCUUUGAAAUGUAAAGAACCAUUUGGGCAAAAUUUUCACUCUCGUUAUCAUGAACGACCCUUGCUUUUACGGUUUAUGUUUUAUCCGCCCACAGUUUCACAUGGUUUGGACUUCAAAUGAUCUCAAACCGUUUUUUAUUUCCUUAAGUGUCCCGACCAUCUCCCAACGGCUUUAUUAUUAACUUUUAAUUUUAGUACUGGGUUGUGCGUGCAUGUCAUGUCACUAGAAUCAGCGUUGAACAAAAUACAAAAACAAAGGAUAAAAGAACUAAAAGAAAAGGACUGGAGGUAAAAAAACCGGAAUUUGCAUUAGAUAAACGGCGAAUAGUUUGGAUAACAAAACAAGCAAAACAAACCGGAUUAUCAUCCUAGAAUGAAACUGAAGCAAACGUGGACAACACCAAACAAACCACUACGACUAAACAAAUUAGAUAAAAGGAUAAUGGGAUUUGAGUGACAAGACAAUAUCCAGAUUACAACCCCGCAAAUAACCCAGACAACAGAAAUGACAACAAAACAAGCUAAAGAUUCCUUUAUAAGUGAGGAUAAUUUUCAAUUGCCAGGCUUGAUAUUUAGCCAUAAAUUUGCUCAUAAGAAUCAACAGAGCCUUCUCGAAUUUCAACAUCAUUAACUUGAGUUAGCAAGUUCCCGCGGGGAUUCUCAUACUUCAUGUCAUCAGGUAUCAUCCCCACAAAGUGUGCAUUAUGAUUUGCAGGUAAAGGAUUCUGCAUGAUAUUCUGGCUGUCACUGUCUUGGAUCACAAUCAAGUUUUCCUGAAUCUUGUGUUUCCAGCUUGCCAAAAACCGACCACCUCAACUUUCUUCACAAUUCAAAACAGAACAUGUUAGAAUGGACUCAGUCGGCCCUCAUUAUUAACAACAACAUCUUUUUCUUUUUUUCAUUUCAUAAUUUUUUUAGAUAUAGUUGUGGUUGAAUAUUAUGCAGAUUGCCCACGUAUCAUGACUCCGCAUGAAUCAGACAUUGCGUAGUUCGGGCCAAUAAAACAAACUACUUUGAAAACAAAGACAAUUUUUUUCUCUUUUUCAUUUGAAAAUAGAACAAGCUAUUUUUUGAAAGAAAAUUUUUUUUUCCCUUUUUAUUUUAUUUUAUUUGGGAAGUAAAAUAGAACUUUUUUUUUCAUUUUAAAAAAAAAAGAAUUCGGCAGAGUUUUGACACUAUUUUGGCAUUGGUAUUUUUCAAAACAGAUGAUUAACCCUCUACACUGCUAUUUCUCUUCUUUUUUUCUCUUUUCCCCAAUUUUCCGAUAUUCCUGAUUUUCAGAAGCCGAUCAGCAUGCCAAUUUGAAGGAAAUAAAAUGCACAAGCAGUAAGUAGGAUGUAUCAGGAUGGUCUUUUUCAUUUCGGGUACACCUGUCCUAGACACACCCAACCCCUGUGUUGAGUUUCCAAAGUCAAAAUGCACAUGAUGUAAACUAUUUGAUUGUACCGAAAGGCCCAAUGAAUUGGGAUUUCCCUAUUGGUCCAGGUCAUUUCGGGGCAAGCGGAUCAUUUAUGAUGAAGAGGAUGAGCUUCAAGAGAAUGAUUCGGAGUUCUUGCAGAGUGGAACCAUGCAGUACUAAUAGGAAUUCAACCAUUAUGGCUAGGAAAAGUUUGAUUCGGAGGGAGAAGAAGAGGCAAAAAUUGGAACAGAAACAUCAUUCGAUUCGCCGAUCCUCAAAGAAAGAAAUAAGCUUCCUACUAGGGAUCCAGCAUGAGGUUUUGUUAUACUAGGUUUAAAACCUGGGUAUAUUGUUCUAGACCUGGCUUAUCCGAGCGGAUAGCUCGAGCCGAGGGGGAGGCAUCGUACUGGAAUACAGAAACUUCACUGGCUUAGCAACUUGUCCGAACCUCAUACUAAAUUGGUAAUUAGACUCUAUACAGAAAAAAGUCACACGAAGUGCACCCUGCUUCAUGAUUUAGAAGAUUCAGAGACAAAAUGGGUUUCGUCACAGUUUAUAUAUAGUUCACGAAAUAUCAAAGCGGUAAAAGUAGUCAAUUAGCACAUUAGGCACAGAACAUGUAACAAAAUCAGAUAAAUCCAAACACAACAGUUUAUCUAAGCUCGAACGGUGAACCCUGAACAAAAGUUCUGGGUUAAGAUCCCCAGCAGAGUCUCUAGAGCUAUCACACCUCUCUUUUGCCUAUGCCCGCAAGGGCGUAAGGAGAGUUUUCCAAUAAAAGGACAAUCGAAAUGAGAUUUAUUAAAAGAUUCAGAGUCGCCUCUUGGGAGAUUUAUGGUGUUCCAAGUCACCGGUUGAAUCGCAAAUCGAUUAAAAGAAUAACUCUGUAUUACAGUCUGCGAAGCAGAAAUCCGAGUAAGGAAUUCUGUUAACUUGGGAGAAGGUGUUAGCUAUUCCCGAGUUCUGUGGUUCUAGCACGGUCGCUCCACUGUCAUAUUAGGCUUAUUAAUCUGAUUUUAAUACAUGUUGAACCUAGGUGAAAAUUUUAACUUUUUACCGCUUUUAUUAUUAUUAUUAUUUAAAGAAAGUUGAACAUCGUUUAAAAUGCAUAUUUAGACUGCGUCACAUAAAAUGCACCCCCAAUCCUGAACACAUUGUAUUCGACGUUUUGGGAUUUAAUUUGGGUCAUAUGAAAUGCACACCCGAGUUUUGGAAGGUAAUAUUAUUAAAAACCGCUCCUAAAGAGACUACCUUGUUAUUAUUUUGGGGAAGGCCUACUAAAUGGCCCGUCCCGAAAUCUAAGUAUUUAUUAUAACCAUUUAUUGAGUACCCCGCAGUUUGUGUAUUUUAUUUGGCUAGGCUCGUCUCAUUCUUUAUUUAAGGAUAUCCUAAAGCGACUAUGAUUUUUCUAUUUAUUUUGUCGGUAAAAGAAAUAAAACGAAAUCCCUAAUUACUUAAUAUUAUAAUUCGAGCUUCAAAUUCGAGUCCAGAUCCAAACAAAAGGGAGCGCCUUUUAGUUUGAGCCCACUUCCCAACUUGAAACCCACAGUAGGUCAAUUGAAUACUAACAAGCCAAUUGCCGAAAGUGCCCAAACCAUGUAUCACGUAAAUUUUAGACAAAGGUCCCAAUAGCCAAUAGAUAUGGGGGCCGGAAAGCCCAAUUUAGUCAAAACAGAUCAAACCAAAGAGAUCGGAAGAUCGAAUCUCUAAGGCCGCACAAGCCGACCAUUGCUUAACCUUUUGUAUAUCUAAGAUUAUACUAACUUUUCUAAUUUUUGCCGAAUAGCACUAGAGUUAGACAACGUACACUCAUUCAAAUUAAUAACUCCAUUCAUGUCUGAUUAUCAAACAAUCAAUUCGUUUAAGUUGUGAGCUAAUGUUGCCUAGUUGUUCAAACGGGUUAUUGAUAUUGAUUACCAAUCUAUACUAUAAAAACCUUGUUGAAAUAAGGAACUCAGUGAAACAGAAGAGUUGACCUUAAUAACUACUCUGUGGGUAUUAGCUAACAAAGAUGCGAAGCUCGCUUGGCAUAUGUAUUCAAACUAAAAAUUAAACUGGACGUGGCCAUCACACACUGGUAAUCUCAAACUGUUUUCGACUUUUCUCUUAAACAACAGUAAACGCUAAACUACACAUGGGUUAACUACGUGAGAGUUAUUGCUAAACAGUCACUAGUUUAUACAGUCCAGAAAUCCGGUAGAGUACACAUGGAGGCCUGCUUAAAUCCUGCAUUAUACUAUAAUCUCAAACUACACCCAACUAAAUUGCCAAAUCCAUGAAAUACAUCUAAUUAAUCAAACAACUAACUAUUAAACAGUCCAAAUUAGUUCAAGUACAUUUCCAAUUCCUACAAGGUGAGUACAAUUGGAAAGAGUCAAAACAAAUACAAAUUAUCUACUAACUAUACUGCUAAGUUAAUUUGAAUAUAUAAACAUAAAAACGCAAACGGGUUGAAGAUUUCAUUGCAUCAUUUCAAUAUCCAAGUUGUAGCAAUACAUGAUUCAAAUAUGUACCUCGUUUUGAGGAAUAUAAGAAGAAUGAAAAGAGGUCAGCUACAGGCUGAAUAAGCAUCAACGCAUAUCAUAGCAGCAGCAAGACAGCAGUAACACCAAUAGCAUAUUACCAACAGCAAUGGAGUAGUUAAAAAAAAAAAACCAACCCACCACCAAUUCAACCAAAAUGAAAUUGAGAAACAAACAGAAAGAGAGCUUGACCACAACAAUAACAACCAAAGACAGAACAACUGGGCUCGACUAAGAUCAAAAACAGAAUCAGCAGACUUCCAAACAGAUUCAGCAAUCAGAAAAGGUAAGAAUCAGGGCCUGGAAUCGAAAUUUCUGCCUAGAACUCAAUGGAACAGUACCCUUUCUUUUAAAAACUGACAAUGACUUGAAGUCUGAAGAUGCUCUCCUGGAUUGAGUAGAAAGAUAACCUAUGGAAAAACUGACUCCCUCUUUAUGAUAUUAUUUUAAGUGUGACCUUUGAGAACUGAUUCCAAAAGCCCCCUUAACAAUACUCUCUAAGAUUCUUAAAGACUGAUCCCUCUUCUCCCCAAAAUUCAGUCCCCUUUCAAACUCUCUUAACCCCUGUAUUUAUAUCAAAUACAGUCCCCCCCCCCCCCCCCCCNNNNNNNNNNNNNNNNNNNNNNNNNNNNNNNNNNNNNNNNNNNNNNNNNNNNNNNNNNNNNNNNNNNNNNNNNNNNNNNNNNNNNNNNNNNNNNNNNNNNNNNNNNNNNNNNNNNNNNNNNNNNNNNNNNNNNNNNNNNNNNNNNNNNNNNNNNNNNNNNNNNNNNNNNNNNNNNNNNNNNNNNNNNNNNNNNNNNNNNNNNNNNNNNNNNNNNNNNNNNNNNNNNNNNNNNNNNNNNNNNNNNNNNNNNNNNNNNNNNNNNNNNNNNNNNNNCCCCCCCCCCCCCCCCCCCCUCUAGUUCUUAUGAGAACUUAGCCAAUUAAAAAAUUCAUUGUCCCAUCAUAUUGCCUGAAGACUACUACUGCCUGUCCCUUUCUAUUAUGUUAAUUCAAAAAUUUAUGGGCAGCCUAAAUUGAAAAUUCAGGCGUGCCCGACAGCCCUUGUUGCUUCCAAUUUGUCCGAAUCAUUUUUUUAAUUCAGUGCUUUAUCUUAAUUUUAUUAAUCAACAAAUCCUAAUUGACUAACAAACAUGGUACAGAUUCAAAUAACAGCUAACAACAAACCACAAUUACACAAAAUUCAAAUGACUAACCAAUUCAGUGUGAUAACCGACUCAGCAUUUCAACUUAUUGCGAUGAACUAAUCUCUAAUUUUAUUCAACGUAUAAACAAAUUAGAAACGAAGCAGGAGGAGAAGAAGAUUGGGAAUUAAACGAAAACCAAAAUAUAACUGAAAGUAAAGGGAAUUGAAAAUACCCGGAUAUCAGGCGGACCAAACAGUGGAAUUACUCAUCAUCCUUUUGAUUUGGAUCGUAACAGACCUUAAUGAUGUGUUUCCAAUAUGAAAACAUACGACUAAGGUCGAAUUAUGGUCUAAAGCUCCUCACCGUUCCCAUUGGCUUUUGAGUUAAAGUUAGGGAUCAGUUUUCGUGAUUUCAAAUUUGAGACUCUAGGCCCACAUUCAAAGGAAGCCAGGUGUGGAUUUGGGGUGAGGGAGUCAAGUAGGUCAUUGGGUGUUAGUUUGGGAAGGUUUGGAGGUGGUGCCGUCAUCGGGGAUUUUAGAGUGGCGCUAGGAUUCCUCCCUUUGAAGGGAUAUUCAAGGGGAUUGGCUUGGAUUCGAGGAAAAGUGUUUGGAUAAUCGGAAUGGGGAGGUCGAGGAGCUAUGGUGUAAAAUUUGGAGGGUUUGGGCCACCGGAACCGCCGUGAGGCGAUUUCUGGUGGGCGGACCACGGUGGAGUCUAGGCGGAGAGUUUGUUUGGUCUCUGAGGUUAGAGACAGAGAGGUCAACGGUUGGGUUUGGCUUGGGGUGGGGUAUGGUUUAAUCUUAUAUACUCAAUUAAGGAUUAAACACAGGCCGUUAGAUCAAUCAAAAUCAACGGCCUAAACGAGACGGCGUCGUUUGGAUAGAAGGGGGAGGAUCCGGGUUUGGGAACGGGUCAGGUGCGGGUUUGGACCGGUAAGGGGGUUUGGGCCUGGGAUUUCCUGUAAGACUGGCCCAGUUCCGAUUUUUCAAUUCAUUUUUUUCAUAUUUGUUUCCUUUUCUUUUCUUUCCUUUUUAUUUCCUAAUUUUAAAACAAAAAAUCCUAGAUUAAAUUAUAAACCAAAAUUAUCUUAAAAAUAAAAAUUAACUCUUAAUAAUAAUUAGGACACAUAAUAAAAAUAAAAAUAAAAUCACACAAUUUGACAUUACACACUAAAAUGCAAAUUACAUUAUUUUUUUUGAGUUUUUCAUUUUGUAAAACAAACUUAAUUACUCCUAAUUGUAGAAUUAAAUAAAUUUAAAUGCAAAUAUUUUUUAUAUUUUUAUUAAUUUAAGCAAAUAAACAUGCACAGACGAAUGCAAACAAUACACAAAAUUCACAACAAUUGCAAACAAACAAUUAUUUUAUUUUGAAAUUUUUUUGGGAGUAAUUCUCAUAUAGGUCAAAAAUCACGUGUUCACAGGGACUGCGACUACGUUUGCUAACCAUUCGGGAUAUUUUACCUCCCAAAUGGAUCUUAUAUUGAAAAGUUUUGUUAUGUCAUCCUUAAUGAAUGCCUGUUUUAACUCGGACUGGGGCCUUCUAUUUUUCUUUUACCGGGUAGAACCUCGGGUCCAUGCUCAGUCUAUAGUGAUCUCCGGUGGGAUCCCUGUUAUAUCUAGGUGGGACCAAGUAAAAUAAUCCAUAUUAUCUAAAAGGAAUUGAACGAGUUUUUUCCUGAGAUCGGGGGGUUAACCCGGUUCCCAGGUAUACCUUACGAUCGGGCAGGUGCUCGAUUAGUAUGCUUUGUUCCAGCUCUUUGACCGUUGACUUUGUUGCAUUUGAAUCAUCAAGGAUUAUGAAGGUUUGAGGUAUCAUAUAAUCAUCAACCUCGAAAUUUUCCUGCUCCUCCGACUGGACCGAGGCCGGUGACUGUGGUUGCUAUUCAACCUCUUGCAUUUCCUUUGAAUUUGAUCCUUUUGUUGAUGAAAGCGCCGAUAUCGGUACUAUUUCAUUGAUUGAAAAUAUUUCUUUGGCGGCAGGUUGUUCACCAUACACCAUUUUGAUUUCUUCUAUUGUUGGAAACUUUAGAAAGGACUGCCCUCAUGUUAUAGAUCCAAGGCCUUUUGAGCAGCGCGUUGUGCCUCAUUUCACCUUCAAUCACACGGAACUACAUUUCUUGUAUGGUCCCGACCAUAUUUACUGGAAAUAUUAUUCCCCCUUGGUGGUUUCACUUACCAUAUUGAAGCCGUUAAGUACUCGAGUUGCAGGAACGAUCUGAUCUUGGAGGCUGAGUUCCUAUACGACCCUUGAUUGGAUAGUAUUUUCUGAUCUGCCUAGAUCAAUCAACACACGUUUAACUUGAAUUUUAUUCAUAAGGAUAGAUAUUACAAGUGCGUCGUUAUGAGGUUGUUCGAUCCCUUCCGUAUCCUCGUCGUUGAAACACAAAGUUUCUUCUAGUAAGUAAUCUCGGGUUUGUUUUUCCCUCGUGGUUGUCACCUUGGUGCAUUUAAAUACCGUCUUUGAGGAAUAUCGACCCCACCAAAGAUCAUAUGAAUUAUGUGUUGUGGUUUUUCCUGUUUGUUUUUCCUGUUUGCAUCUUUGUCUCUGAAGUGAAUUUUAGCUCGGCCACUAAAAUAUUCUCGAAGAUAACCGUCAUUGAAUAAACGAGCUACCUCCUCUCUCAGAUAUCUACAGUCUUCGAUUUUGGGACCAUGGUAUUUGCAUAUUUGAUUAGGGUUCAUUUGAGCUGGGUCAGUCUGUAGGGGUCUAGGCCAUAUAGUAUCCUUGAUCCGUCCAAUGGAUGAUAUAAUACCUGAUGCAUCGAUGUUGAAGUUGUAUUCUAAUAGUCGUGGUGCUUCUAUAGGCUCGGCAUGUUUAUUGAAUCCACUUUUACUCGUGACACCUUGGGAGCUCUGUCUUCGAUCAUUUCGAAUGAGAUUACGUCCUGGGCUACUAUUUCUACGAUCUGUGAUGUAUGGUUGGUACCGAUAUCUAUUCGAUUGAGGUUCUCUAUAGAUUUCCCUUGGAAUUCUACCAACGGGACUAUUUGCGUAAACAAAACCGGAAGGAGUUCCCAAUUGAUCACCCUCAACCCUGAUCUUCGAUUGGUAUCGAUUAUGUAAAUCGGCCCAGGUUCUAGCUGGAUAUUCAAUUAAAUUCUUCUUUAGUUGUCGUGAUGCUAUCGAACUUCGUUCGUUCAAACCUUGAGUAAAAGCAUGAACAACCCAAUCAUUUUUUAUCAAGGGUAGGUCCAUGCAUUCCAUCUGGAGCUGAGAUACGAAUUCCCUUAAAAUUUUUAUGUCCUUUUGUAUUACUUUGAAGAGGUCUGACUUCCUAGUCACAACCUUUAUUGCUCCAGUGUGUGCCUUCACGAAGGAAUCAGCAAGCAUGGUGAAAGAGUAAAUGGAAUUGGGCGGCAAAUUGUGGUACCAUAUUGUUGCCCCUUUCGAUAAAGUUUCUCCAAACCUUUUCAAUAAAACAGAGGAAAUGAAGUGACAUGUGAAGUGACAUGUUUAUUAGGGCGGCAAACUGUGGUACCAUAUUGUUCUAAGUCAUUCCCUUUUAUUGCGCACGUAUGUGAAGUGACAUGUUUAUUAGGGUCGGUGGUUCCAUUGUAUUUUGGUAAUUUCUGGUAUGAAGAUUUUUUUCAGGAUAAGAGUCGGAGCCACACUUGGGGGGAAAAGCUUCUGCACAAACUUCUUCGAAUCUAAACCCUUUAGAAUCGGGGCUGCCCCGGGUAUUUGGUAAACCCGUGAGUCAUACAUUUCUACUUUUUUGUCAUUAGCCUCAAUUUUCUUUUCGUAUGAUUGAAUCCAUUUAAGGAGCUCCUGAAGCAUCUUCAUAAUGGCGGCGUCAGUCCCUAAUUCAUUGUCUUUCGAUUUUUCUAGCACAAGUUAUGCUCAAUGAACAAGUUUUUGCGAUGUUUCGAGGUCUAUUUUUCUUGGUGCUCGAUUCUGAUUUUGGAGUUGUUCUAUCGCAGCUUGUUGAGUCUGCAAGCCUUCUUCACCGCUCAGUGCAUUCUGAUCUGCUGCUCGAGCAUCUAUGUGGAUGCUAUUUUCAUGGUCGACAGCAAAAUUUCCAUUAAUGGCAAUAUGGGAGCUGACAUUGACUGGGUCUACGGCCGGCGGACGGUCGGGUUUAAUUGGAGGUACUCCGUUUCCAGGGGCGACUAUAUUUUCGUUCUUGCCAUGAAGACCAAGGUCGUUGUCUGUGUGAGUGGGUGCUACUUAUGAGUUUGACAUGUUGAUUCCUGAAAUCAAAACACUUACGAGAACAAGCGUAAAGCAGUGUGUGUUAUAAGAAUUAAUACCAUGCAAACACUAUUAUCCUUAGCCCCACGGUAUGCACCAAAUUAUUUAUCCUAAAAAUAAGAUAACAAUUAAACUUAUAAUGUGGUUUUAAGGAUACGUAUUUUCACCUAAUACUAAUUGAUGAGUAUGAGGAUUAAUAAUAGAAAUUAACAAUAAGAUAAAGCAAACAAGUACUUGAACGUAAUUCAGCCCUCAAGCUUGAGUAUCCUCUGGCUGAUUGGCACAAGAAUAGUUAAAAAUAUAAGCAAGCUGAUGAACAAGAAUAUGAGCUAAAGAAAAAGUAUUAUAUUGCUUUAAUAUCCAAAAUGUAAGUCCCUAACAAAUGAUUGGAACUCCUCUUUAUAUAGUAGUGGAAUUCUAGUUAUGGUUUAACUCUAAUUACAGAGGAAAUCCCAUGAUUCGUUAAUUAACCGUCCUUGAUUUGGUCAGUUCCAAGAUUUCUACCAUGAUCUUCGACCAGUCACGAAUAUCUCGCCUUUAUGUUAUUAUGCUACCUUCGAUCUUGCUUGAUGUUUGUCUCGUUCGGUUUCAAUCACUAACAGUCUCGAUCUUGGCAGGUACCUCGAAUCUUCGAAUUUGGUACCUUGUCCUCGUACCUCAGUCUGAUCCAUUAUAAGAUCGAUGUUCGAUCCUUCACACUGAUCUCGAUAAAUCAGUAAAAUUGGGUGGGCCCGAUUUUAAUCGAAUACACAUCACUACAGAAAAUUACUUUAUAUACAACUAAUUCAAGAAGGCGCUAGCCGCUAAGAAACUACUACUAAAUGAUUUUGUUUUCUUUAGUCCUUUCUGUGUUGACCAACAAACAAUCGAUCAGUGUAUUUUGAACACCCAUAGUGCUACCAUCCUAGUACUUAUUUUACUCAUGUAACAAGGUAUAUAUUUUGAACAACUACAGUGCUAAUACCAGCACUUACCCAUGUAAUGAUGCGUAUUCGUGUAUAAAAUUCUGUUGUUUUGUAACCAAAACAAAAGAUAUCUGAAUAGUAAAAUUAGAGCAUGUAUAGAAGAAGCUCAAAAUGUAAACCAUGGCAGGUACGCUUGGUCAUAAUGUCAUGAUCUUGAGAACAAAAAUAUAUUAAUUCAGGAAUUUGUCCACUAUAAGGUGGGGGAAAAGAAAUUUUGUCCUUGAUUAUUCUAAAUAAAUAACUACAGUGUCAAUUCUUGUCAAAAAAGAUUUUCGUCCUUAUUUGAGGACAUUUCGAGUUUCGGUGAAAUAAUAAACAAUAUAUCAAAUUAUAUUUCUUGGUGAUUUGUCAAUCGAAAAGUAAAUUUGAGACAGAUUAUAUUCUAACUGUUGUAAUUUUGUUUUAUACCAUUUAAUAAAUCUCACAAAAGAUUCUCUAUUUAUUUCUUCUCUUUCCUGAUAUCUAUUGACAUGCCCAUCCCUGUCGAACAGUUUUUUUUUGGGAAGAUAAUUCAAUUGCCGUUUAACAAUAUUGUGCUAAGGAGGGAUUUAACGUCUCAUGGUGCACGAAGAAGAUGAAAUAUAAGUAGAUAUUAAUGUUAUAACGCAUGCGCAACUAUUUCUUUAUAAAAAUAGAUGAAUUUACAAAAAUAGGAUAAAAAAAUUUUGUGCUCUUUAUUGGUAGUGGGACUUUAAACGCAUUAUGGUUGCUGACGAACGAAACUCAAAUUCAAUUUGAAUUUCGGAUUCACUUUAGAUAUCUUUUAGUCGUACUUUUUCUUAAUCUACACGACUUUAAAACUAGCUGAUAAAACAUUGAGAAACAGAGAAAAGCUGGGACGAGGAAGAUUAGUUAAUUAACCGACAUGAAUUUUUAUUUUUUAAUAAAAUAAGUGAACGAUAAUGCGGAGAGUACUGCUACCUCGAAUUAUUUACUGUACGCGUAAAUUUAGGAAAAUUUGGCAGAUUUAAAUACCUAUUUGCCAGUGUAGCUCUGUAAAUUGUAAGCUCAUCAUUUGCUCAACAUUUUACUGAAAUAUAGAAAUCUACUAGGUUGUGAAGCUUUACGUGGACCUUGACCCUGAGGCGAAAAUAAAAUUUGAAGUUUUUGAAUUUGGAAUUUUAGUCCUAGUAAGUUACUGAUUUUUAAUUUACCAAUUUGUAUAUAUUUAAUAAAAUUUAUUAAGACAAAUACAAAGUAUAAACUAAAGUUAUUGAAUUCGACCAACUAGUAACUCAUAUUCUAGCUUCGUCCUUACCUUGACCCAUAUAGUACAUAAAAAAUUAUAUAUACUGAUAAUAUAAUUUUUUUACACCAUCAAGUCAAUUUAAUGGAUUAUAGUAAGUUACUCUUAUAUUUCAGGUUGUGCACUGUCAAACAGUACGUGUAACAGAUGCAAAUAUUGCGACACAAGACGCAUCUGAAGAUAAAUGCACGCGCACGUGGUCAAAUUUGAUGUUACAAUAUUAUUGAUCAUGUAAAACGUGAUGAAAUAAUACGUCUACUUGAAAAAGGGACUACUUUUUACUGGUGAUAGUGCAUAAAAACAAUAGAAAUCAAUUUUACCGCAAAUGAACUUGAAUAAGAAAAUUUAUUCUAUUGCCACCACAAUCAAUGACGGACAGCUGUUUCUGCAUUAAGAUGACCAUUUUUUUCUAGCUAGAAAGCUAAUUACUACAAGUCUACAACAGGAACAUAUAAUCUAAUCUAAGAAUAAAUGUAUACAAACACAUAUAUAAGGAGUUAGGAAAGAGUAAAUCAAAGUAAUCAAUUCUUAGGGUUCGGCAGUUUGCAGGUUGGGCAUAUUCUCAACUUUAGCUGCUUCAACUCCACAUGUAGAAUUAUGCAAACACGAAGCUACGUGAAUUUUUCCUGAGGAAAUAAGUGAACCAAGCUUUACAAUGUCAAUAAUUUGUUCCUCUGUGAGUUCUGGAAGCUUCUGAUUACUGUUGUCAUCAACUAUAAUGACAUGGUUUUGUAUCUUCUCUGGAAGUUUGUGCUCCUUUAAAAUGGCCUUCUCCUUUUUAUUGUAUAUUACGUAGAGCACCAUUUGGAAAAUUCCGAGGAUGAAUCCCAAUACGUUUGGAAUCUACAAUGAUAAGGUGGAAGUAAAUACAUGAGAUCUAAGAUUCAACAUAUAUAUUUUACGUAACAUAAACACAUUAAAUAUAUAUAGAACUUACAGCAAUAUUAAUAUCUUUUACGAGAAGACCAUAGAAGAACCACAUUACAGCACUUAAUGUGAGAAACACUGAUAAAAGUAAUGGCAUGUAUUCCACACUCUUUGUUUUGAUAACUUGUCUCUACAUAAGAUGAGAAAGAUAGUUAAGCAUUAUCUUGAUUUACAUGCAUGGAAAAACAGGGGAAUACAAAGCUCAAAAUUCCCAAAAUACGUGAAUGAUUUGCAUGUAAUUAAAAGCUCACCACAAUGCCUAAGGGCGCUACAAACACACACAAGGAAAACACAAGGCAAAUCCAUCCAACCGCUUGCCCCUGAGCAGUACCUUUGAAUAGAAACUGAGUAAUCAGAACAAUAACACCAUAGCCAGCCACCACCAAUAAUACGAGCAUCUUCACAGUUUGGACCUGCAUUAAUUAAAUUGUGAAGACCAAAGUAAAUUCACUUCCUUUAGGAAAGAAAACGAAUAAAAUAUACUCCUCCGUUCACUUUUACUUCGCUAUAUACUAAAAAUAAAUUUUUAUUUUACUUGUCAUUUUACACAUAUCAUGAGUGAGAAGAUAAUUUUUUUUCAUGUUAUACCCACAGUUAGACAAGAGGGGUUGCUCUGAUGGUAAGCAACCCUCACUUUCAACCGAGAGGUUGUGAGNNNNNNNNNNNNNNNNNNNNNNNNNNNNNNNNNNNNNNNNNNNNNNNNNNNNNNNNNNNNNNNNNNNNNNNNNNNNNNNNNNNNNNNNNNNNNNNNNNNNNNNNNNNNNNNNNNNNNNNNNNNNNNNNNNNNNNNNNNNNNNNNNNNNNNNNNNNNNNNNNNNNNNNNNNNNNNUUCAACCGAGAGGUUGUGAGUUCGAGUCUCCCCAAGAGCAAGGGUGAGAAGUUCUUGGAGGGAAGGAUGCUGAGGGUCUAUUUGGAAACAGCCUCCCUACCCUAGGGUAUGAGUAAGGUCUGCGUACACACUACCCUCGCCAGACCCCACUUAGUGCAAUUAUACUGGGUUGUUAUUGUUGUUGUUAUUGUUAUACCCACAGUAUUUAUUACUCACUUCAAAUCA